rnacentral:rRNA from 1 species
AGAGUUUGAUCCUGGCUCAGGAUGAACGCUGGGCGGCGUGCUUAACACAUGCAAGUCGAACGGAUUUAUUCGCUGUCAAAACUUCGGUCAAGACUUGAAUAAAUUAGUGGCGGACGGGUGAGUAACGCGUGGAUAACCUGCCGUAUACAGGGGGAUAACACUUAGAAAUAGGUGCUAAUACCGCAUAAGCGCACAGCUUCGCAUGAAGCAGUGUGAAAAACUCCGGUGGUAUACGAUGGAUCCGCGUUUGAUUAGCUAGUUGGUGAGGUAAUGGCUCACCAAGGCAGCGAUCAAUAGCCGGCCUGAGAGGGUGAACGGCCACAUUGGGACUGAGACACGGCCCAAACUCCUACGGGAGGCAGCAGUGGGGAAUAUUGCACAAUGGGGGAAACCCUGAUGCAGCGACGCCGCGUGAGUGAAGAAGUAUUUCGGUAUGUAAAGCUCUAUCAGCAGGGAAGAAAAAAAUGACGGUACCUGACUAAGAAGCCCCGGCUAACUACGUGCCAGCAGCCGCGGUAAUACGUAGGGGGCAAGCGUUAUCCGGAUUUACUGGGUGUAAAGGGAGCGUAGACGGUAUGGCAAGUCUGGAGUGAAAUGCGGGGGCUCAACCCCUGAACUGCUUUGGAAACUGUGAUACUAGAGUGCAGGAGAGGUAAGUGGAAUUCCUAGUGUAGCGGUGAAAUGCGUAGAUAUUAGGAGGAACACCAGUGGCGAAGGCGGCUUACUGGACUGUAACUGACGUUGAGGCUCGAAAGCGUGGGGAGCAAACAGGAUUAGAUACCCUGGUAGUCCACGCUGUAAACGAUGAUUACUAGGUGUCGGGGGUUAACAAACCUUUCGUGCCGCACAAAACCAAUAAGUAUCCACCUGGGGAGACCUUCCCAAGAAUAAACCCAAAGGAAUUUACGGGGACCCCCCCAGCCGGUGGACCCGGUGGUUUAAUUUCCAAACAACCCCAAAAAACCUUCCCUGG